UAUGGUCAAAUCACGUUGAACACGCCUGUUCUCGUCCGAUCACCGAAGUUAAGCAUCGUAGAACCAGGUCAUUACUUAGAUGGGGGACCGCUUGGGAACACUUUGUACUGUAAG
rnacentral:rRNA from 1 species